UACGUAGGGUGCGAGCGUUAAUCGGAAUUACUGGGCGUAAAGCGUGCGCAGGCGGUUUUGUAAGCCAGAUGUGAAAUCCCCGGGCUCAACCCGGGAACUGCGUCCGAUACUGGAAGGCUUGAAUCCGGGAGAGGGAUGCGGAAUUCCAGGUGUAGCGGUGAAAUGCGUAGAUAUCUGGAGGAACACCGGUGGCGAAGGCGGCAUCCUGGACCGGCAUUGACGCUGAGGCGCGAAAGCCAGGGAAGCAAAGCGGG
rnacentral:rRNA from 1 species